AUGGCGACCGGCGCACGGGUGAGUAACACGUAUCCAACCUGCCGAUGACUCGGGGAUAGCCUUUCGAAAGAAAGAUUAAUACCCGAUGGCAUAGUUCUUCCGCAUGGUGGAACUAUUAAAGAAUUUCGGUCAUCGAUGGGGAUGCGUUCCAUUAGGUUGUUGGUGAGGUAACGGCUCACCAAGCCUUCGAUGGAUAGGGGUUCUGAGAGGAAGGUCCCCCACAUUGGAACUGAGACACGGUCCAAACUCCUACGGGAGGCAGCAUG
rnacentral:rRNA from 1 species